GAAAAAGUGACGGCUUCGCGCGCUCCGCUACGCCUUCUAUUUCAUCAUCAGCAACACCCCCCCUCUUCACUACGCGUUCACUGUCUCCUCCUCUCCCUCUCUCUCUCUUUUUCUCUCUCUCUGUCUCUUUUUCACCCCCCCCCUGUCUUUCUUCUUCCCCGUUUCGUUUGCUCCCCUCUUUCUGCUCCAGCCUCACGCAAGGGGGAGACUGAAGCUCUGCGAGGGGAAAAGAGAGAGAGGAAAAAAAGUGCUGCUAUUUCUACAGUCAGGGCCUCCCCACAGCCCACCCUUCCAUAGACGGAGCUGCUUUUUCUUUUUUUCUUUUCUUUUUUUUCACUCACUACUAGCUGGAUUUUAACCCUCUGCUUCCAACUAGCUGCACAGCAGCAGUUCUGCAAAACCUGGCAACAAGUUGAUAUUCCAGGGGCCUUUUCUCUGACUUUUGCUGCAUAGAUUUUUUUGCGUCUUUCUUUGGAUUUUCUCGCCCUUUUGCUGUUGAAUUUCUUUUUUUCACUUAGAAAGAACAAAAUAUUCUAACUUUGUUGGGGAUUUUUUUUUGCCCCCCCUCUCCACUUACGGUUUUUGAGUCGAAUUCAUUCGCUUCUGGUUUUCUUUUGAAUGGAUUUUUAAUUUUUUUAAAUCUUUUUCCUUUUCGGCGGCCUGGUGCGUGGGGACCAGAGGGCAGGGAGGGGGGCACGAGGGAUGAAAUUUCUCGGCUGGAUGGGAAAGCCGGGGCGCCAUUUCGGGUAACCUGCUUGCGGUAGGCUUGCGGUCUGGAUGACCACACAGUGGAUUUCAGUGAGGAGAACGCGGCCUGUGUGGCCGGAAGGCGGCUGCUGCACGUUUCAGUGUUUCUAAACACCCGUCCGCCAUCGCCACUUUUGACCCGCAUGAACUUCCGUACCGUGUUUGUUUUUUCGCUCAGCUUUUUGCCCCCCUCUUGUUUCCUUCCCGUGUCUUGCCGUUUGUCUCUCCCUCUCUCUCGCUCUCUCUCCGUCCGUCUAUCUCUCUCUCUCCCCGCUUCACGCCGACUGAAAGGGAACGAGUGGAGAGCUGAGCCGAAGCGCUUUCUGGGACAGGUGCCAACUCCAGACAAAAGAAAAUUUUAAACUCAACAGCAGAGGGAAAACGUUCCGAGUCGGAAAACAAUCUUUGAAUAGUUGCAUCGGAAUAUCUGGUGUUUGCACGUUGCGCCCCCUUGCAUGUACAAAUUGUUCCUCUGUGAUUGUGUAUUUCUGUGUGUGUGUGCGCAGUGUUGAAACUAAACGUUUCAGCAGUAAACUAAAUACUUUGACACUUUUCUGAUUCGGAGUGAAGGCAUCUGAUUUGGGGCGUGAUGAGGGGAGCGCGGCGGUCAGAAAAGCUGCAUUAUUCAUGCCGAGACUGGGAUUCGGAGCGCCUGUGCCAUUUGCAUGCAUCAGACAUGCCGUGCGCCUGUUUGCUAACAUUCCUCACUGAAAGACUUGUUAACCGGGGCGGACGGGGCCGAGCCGGAGCCCCUCCGACCACCGUGUGGCGGCCUCUCGUCGUGUCGGGCCUCGCGCCGCCGGCCCAGACCGGACUGUCCGCCGUAGAGGAGAUGGGCUAGCUGUCGCUAAGGAGGUACGGAUCUACGUCGAGGAGAACUGGACGGAAAUUCAUCCCCUGAACAAACAUUCACCUUCUUGCUCUCUGGAGCCUGUUGUGGGAUGGAGUUCCAGCCUCUGGCGCUAAUAUUUUACCAACAAGCAACGAAGUCAAAGGCAGCAUUAUGAAGACUACCUGAUGUGCUGCUGAAACCGUGACGGGGCGGGAGGUGGAGGAGGCAGGAGGCCAGCGCCGACCCCGUUCGCCCCCAUCGCCGCUCCCUGCCACAUGUUAUGGAGCAGGUGAGAAGCAUUAACAGAGGCAGCAGCUGUGGCCCUGCGCUCCACACAUGUGGACCGGGAUGAGAGCUCUGUUGGGCUCAGCCACCCUUGUCUUGGAAACAAAGAAAAGCAACUCUAGGAAACAAGAAACCCCGCAGAGCGUUGUGUGAACGUUGCACCGCUCCGACAACGCCUCGCGGACGUGUUCAAACCUCCUGAACGUCCCCACAUUUCAUCGUGUUAUGAGCACAAACUUUAAUGUGUUUUUGUGAUGGUGGCUCCUGAAAUGAUACAAAAAAUAAAAGAUGCAUGACUUUGCAAGUAAAACUCUGAAAAGUGUGGUGUGCAUUUGCGCUGAACCUCCUUUUCUGUGAUACUCUUAAAUACAAUCCAGCGCCACCAAUUAGUGCCACUUAGUUAAUAAAUGGAGCCCACCUGUGUGUGAUUAAAUCUCAGCGUAAAAGCAGCCAUUGCUGUUUGCAGUUUGCCACCUGCCCUGCAGGGGGCGUCGUGAAAACAUUGUGUUGUGGUCAGGUGAACCCAGUGUGAGCUUAUUUUUGUAUCCAAAAUGCUAAAUUAAAGUGAUAAAUUAAUCUUACAAGCCUCCCUGACCUCGUCAUCCCCACUGUGAAACAUGGCAGUGGCAGCAUGAUGCUGUGGGGACACUUUUCUUCACCAACGAUAAGGAAGUUGGUCAAAGUCAGUGCUAAGAUAGAUGGAACUACAAUGGAAUGGUUUCCAUUAUUGCAUAUUCAUGUGAAUGGCCUAGUCAAAUGAGAAUCUGUGACAAGACUGGACUGAGGUUUUACUUCACAACUCUGCACGACUCUGUCUUAGGCCUGUUCUUGCUGGAGAACUGGCUCCCCCGCAGCAUGAUACCGCCACUGCCAUGUUUUACAAUGGAAAAAGUUCAGUUUUGGUCUCAUUGAACCAGAGCUUCUUUUUCCACGUGUGUUUUCUGUACAAACAGCACUUCUUAUAGUUUUAUUUAAUUGUUUGUUGUUUUUUUUAAACCUUUGUUUCUACGGGUUGUCUCAUUGAGAUCUCUUACAAGACGAACCUGUUUCAAUUAAACAAAACGAAUAAAAUUACAAACACAGCAACAUGAGCAAUUAAGAAAUUAACAAGCUAAUAAAAUAUCUAUUCAAAAUCAAAUUACAAACUAAUAAUUGUCCAGUUGGGAAAUAUUUAAAUGGGCUUAGUGACUUUUUUAACAGAUUUUUAAAGAAGUAUCGGGAGUAAAGUCAUGCUAAAAUCACACCUCUAUUUUUUUUUAUUUGUAAAAAUCGUGAAUUAAUUUCCUUAAUUUUCCUUAAUUAAGCACUACUUUAUGUCGAUCUAUCACACAAAAUACCAACAAAGUCCUUUGAGGUUUGUGUUUGCGACAUGACAGCAGGUAUGAAUAUAUUUAAAACAUUCUCAAUCAUCAUGUGUUGAUUAGAUCUAAUUGCUAUUUAAAUCAGCUCCACCAACGUUUCAUACGUAAACUCAAAGUGGGACAAAUAGGAGGUAAUGCUUACUAAACAUUGUUAUACUUCUGUGGUUAAACCUAUUAGUUCCAAUUACACCUGCAGCAUAUACGUUGCCUACAGGUUGCAUUUGAAUGUGAAAAUAUCUUUGCCCGCGCAAUUUGUUUGGGAAAUGGUUGCCCCAGUCAGAUCAUUUGAAUUCCCCUUCAGCCUGAGCCAUGAACUCGAAGACCCAGUUGUCACAUUGUGCUCUCCACACACAGGCUCCUUUCACGGCGCCGCGUCCCAGAGGAAAGCGCCGCGCGUGUUUGUGUUUCUGUGAAUCAUAACUGCUGCUUUGCAUUCAGCGAAGUGUGUCGAAGCGGAUUACAGGCAUGAACUCAGGCGGGAGCAGAGAGAGAGAGAAAGCUGUGUUUUUUUUUGUUUUUUUAUUUGUUUUUUUGUUGUUGUUUUUUUUACCUCAAGACUGUCCUUUGGGGUGAGGUAGUAGGUUGUAUAGUUUUAGGGGUCACACCCUUUCUGUCAGAUAACUAUACAACUUACUGUCUUUCCUGAAGUGGCUGUAAUGUCGUCAGACGCCAGCACCGGAGAACUCUGAAACCGGCUCAACAUCAGAAAUGACAAGCUUUACGGACAGAGUGGACACAGGAUCUAACCGGGACGCAGGAAUUUGAACCUUAGUUGCAAAUGGUUUGUGGCAACUUUUGGUGGUUUUGCUCUCAAGUUUAAGCUCUUGUUUUAGACAGUCAUUGCAAUUUCACCUGUUGUCUUCUGUUGUAAAACUGUUCCUUUGCCACGUCUUUUGUGAUAUGUGAAAUAUAGAAAUCAAAGCGUCACAAAAAGACCAUAUGAGGAUGGCGGGUUCCUGUUGCUGAAAGAACGCACGUUUGUUAGAGAUCGCCGAGUUCUGUGGCAAACGCUUAGGGCCUUUUCUGAUGUUCGUACGGGGUGAGGUAGUAGGUUGUGUGGUUUCGGGGUAGUGAUUUUGCCCAAUCAGGAGAUAACUAUACAACCUACUGCCUUCCCCGAAGGGCAGCAAUCCUACACCAUACAGAAACCAACAGACCCAACCAGUUUGAGUCACUGAGCCGCCUUUAGCUUGGAGAGCAGCUUUUGAUUGUCAGUGGUGCAAUAUUAGCAGCAGGUAAAAGCCUUUUUUUUUUUUUUUAACCAAAAUAAAAAGAAAAUAGAUCAUAAAAUGCUCUGUGUUCUUAUUUAAUUUAACAUUCAAUGUUGUGUGUUGCUGGUAAUGUUUUUUAAGCUAGGGCUACAUGGUGGAGCGGUUGAUAGCGCUGUAGCUUUGCAGCAAAAAGGUCCUGGGUUCAAAUCUAAGAUCUAAAUUGAUCUUAGGUUUGAGUGUGUGUGUGUGUGCGCAUAGUUGCACCCCUCUCACCCCAUGGCAACAGAUCCCAUGCAUGGACAACUGUGUACAGGGUGGAUUUCUAAACUACUGCUGACAUUGAAACUCCUCUUGUCAUGCAUCAUCCAUGACAUUCCUUAAAUGCUCCACUAAUCUGGAACAAACUACCGGAAAACUGAUGAAACACCGAGUUCUCUUUAAAUCAAGGCUAAAAACUAUUUUGUAUAAGGCUGCCUUUGAUCAAUAAUAACUGGAACGUCGUAUACUCUGA